AUGUGAGAAGGUACUUCUGCUUAGGCUGAUGCUUUGCCCCACCCAAGAAAUGAAACUUUGUAUGUACGUGUGAGCUUGGAAUGGGGAGUAGGUGAGAGAUCAGAAGGUAGAGAAGUUUUUUUUUUAAACCUCUUUUGCAACUGAAGACAGGAAAAAGAAAACAGAGAAACAAAAGAAACCAGACAGAGCAGACAGGAAACAAAAUCUAAAAUGACAGACUUAAACCCUAACUUAAAUGUAAAUGGUUUGAAUUUAGCAAUUAAAUGACGGAGUGGUAAAAUG
rnacentral:lncRNA from 1 species